rnacentral:lncRNA from 1 species
CUGGAGACGAAAUUAAUUUUGGAAAUGUGCGCUAUUUUUAGAUAGCUGCGGUGACAUGAAGGGUAUCCUUAGAGAAAUAUGUACUUUGGGGAUGAAUAGCGUGAUAUUAGGGGAUCAGAAUGGUACCAAAGUUGCCAUGACUACCUUUAUUGUUUUGCCGCUUGCGAGCAUUCUUUGAGAGCAAUUUCGCAAACAAUGGCGCAUCGAAGCCAAAAUGUUAAAAUUGAUGAAUUUCGGCUUCGAAUAACUUUUGUUUUUAAGGCCAUCCUUUUAUAAUAUUUGGUAGGACUAAAUUUAUAGCCUUUAUCUAAAUUCCUACCGUAGCACUUUAUUCGAUUUCGUCUUUGAUCGCAGUAAAAAUGCAUUUGAAUAAGGCCACCAAAUACAGCGUUUCGAUGUCAACGCUAAUAAUAUAACGUUUAGCGUCUGAGGUUGCGGUCAAAAGAAAGAUGGAAUUAUCGACCAAGACACAGAAAUUGAGGAGAUUAGACGAAAAGGUAUGUUUGGCAUUUGUUUAUUGUAUUAUUUGUACGAAACAAGGGAUAAUAUAUUGAUAUGUUUUGAAAGGCAGGCGUGUGUACUUGUUGACUUGUAUAUUGUAUACAUUCUUGAGCGCUCAAGAACUAUAAUACCUAUAGCGGCCUAUGGCUACAAACCCUUUAAUUAACCCUAUAUUUUCGAAUUUGGAGGGUUUAAAACAAGCGAAAUAUGUUUAAAAUUACGAACAAUAAUGUGUUGUAUAUUAUAUUUUCACAUUGACAGUUGUCACACAGAUUUAUUAUAAGUAGAUUGACUAGACAAUAUGCGAUGUUCCAUAGGUAAAUUCUAAGUUUUGAGGGAUUUGUAAGUAAUCUUUGAGAGAACUGGCUCAGUGUUACAUUUCAGCACAAAACAUGCAAUUCUGACAAUGUAAACUCUGUUACUAUAUAAAUGUGAAGUUUUUUUAACUUUGAAGUUAGAAAAAUCUUUUGAAUAUUGAAACAAACCUAUAAUUGCUUGCAAAUUCAGGUAAACCACAGGCACAGCUGGCAGCGUGGCCUAGGUGUUGUAUUUGUACACAGACUUGAUUUAUAGUUUCAGCAAUCUAUGAACUCAUUGAGUCGCAUUGCGCCCUCGCCGCCCUGAUGGGCCCUACUUUAUUAUUUUACUUUGUCUAACGCCAGAUUAUUUUACUUUGUCUAACGCCAGACGAUUUUACUUGUCAAGGGGAGAGUGCUGGCGCAGCUUAAUUGGUUAACUAGCCUAUAUGUCUAUGUGUCUAGUUAGUGCAUUGAGUUACAUUGCACCCUAUGUUAUUAUUUUACUCUGUCAGUCUCUAUCUACCAGCAGACAAGUUAACUUGUCAACAGAGAGCGCUGGCGCUUAAUAGUUAACUAGCUUAUAUGUCUAUGUGUCUAGUUAAUCUAUUGAGUCGCACUGCGCCCCGAUGCGCCCUACUUUAUUAUUUUACUAGAGCUGUCUAACGGCAGACGAUUUUACUUGUCAAGGAGAGAGCACUGGUGCUUAAACGGCUUAAUGAUUAACUACCCUAUAUGUCUUUAUGUCUAGUUAGUGCAUUGACUCACAUUGCACCCUAUGUUAUUAUUUUACUCUGUCAGUCUCUAUCUAACGGCAGACAAGUUAACUUGUCAACAGAGAGGGCUGGCGCUUAAUGGUUGACAAGCUUAUAUGUCUGUGUGUCUAGUUAACCCAUUGAGUCGCACUGCGCCCUGAUGCGCCCUACUUUAUUAUUUUACUCUGUCUAACGGCAGACCAUUUUACUUGUCAAGGGGAGAGCACUGGUGCUUAAACGACUUAAUGAUUAACUACCCUAUAUGUCUUUGUGUCUACUGUAGUUAUAGUGCAUUGAGUCACAUUGCACCCUGAUGCACCCUAUGUUAUUAUUUUACUCUGUCAGUCUCUAUCUAACGGCAGACAAGUUAACUUGUCAACAGAGAGGGCUGGCACUUAAUGGUUGACAGGCUUAUAUGUCUAUGUGUCUAGUUAACCCAUUGAGUCGCACUGCGCCCUGAUGCGCCCUACUUUAUUAUUUUACUCUGUCUAACAGCAGACAAUUUUACUUGUCAAGGGGAGAGGGCUGGCGCUUAAUGAUUUAAGUUCUGAAAGUAGCAAGGAAAACCACCCAUGUGAGGCUUAUGUUUUUAUAUACCAAUGAUACAGCCACAAUACAUCCAUGGAUUGUCGGUCCACCUUUUGUGUUAACUCAGUAAGCCGCAGUGUUUCCCAGUGUCACCAUCAGUCAUUUGCUUGUUUUGUAUAUGCGAUACUGAGUAGAUAUGUGAUGUGCCCCAAAGACAGUCGUGUUUACAGGCUAUACCCGUAGUAAUCGGGCUACUUUGUUAUUUUGGUCUUAUAUCAGUCAGAUAUUUAAAUUUACCCUUAAAGACAGUUACCGUACUGUAACAAUAUUGGGUUUAUCAGCUAUAGUGAUGCAAGAUUUUUAAUCUCUAAACCUUUACCAUUUUCUUCUAGGUCUUGCAAGGCAAAGUUUAUUUACUAAUGGCAGAAUAUUGUGAAAUAAUGUGUCACUGACUUUGGCUUAUUCCUGCCUACUAUACUGAACUAUAUGUGUAUUAAGAUUGACUAUGACUGUAAUAUUAACCCUGUCAGUAAUUGCCAAGUGCAAGUGAGGGUUGAUCUAAUUAAAAAUGUAUUAUUAUUUGAUUGCAAAUAGUGUUCUCAAUUAAAUUGUCAGGUCUAAUAAAUAUUUUUGCCAGGACUAUUGGCAAAUAUUGUUCCCAGUAUUGUUCCUUAUGUUCAGUAGUGUACUAAACAUUUGACCAUGGAAUAACAAAUUCAUAAACUUUUUUAUCCAGUGUGUAUUAUUUUAGUCUUUUUGAAUUGAUCACAUGUGAACAUUUCCUGCACAUGUAAACAACACAUUCAUAUGGGUUUUCUUCUCUGUGUGUUCUUUUAUGUGUUAACCCAUUGAACCGCAAUGCGCCCCAUCUAUUUUUUUACUUUUCUAACGCCAGACAAUUUUACUCGUCAAUGGGGAAGCUCUGCCACUUAAUGGGUUAAGCACCCUGGUUGUGGAAGUAUGAACAUCAAUGGAUACAAAGACAUGGUGUAUAUCAUAUAAUUUAUUAAUAUACAAAUCAAAGUACUUUGCCAAUGCAGGAAGUUCAAAUAAUAUACACAUACCAGUAAAAUGCCUGUCACAUACUGAUACACAGGCAGUCAUAAUGGGUUACAUACAGUCACUAAAAACACUUUUAACUGCAUGUACCAAAAGAGAAAUUUAUCACCUUACUCCUUAGUUACUUAGUAUGUCAGCCAUAUUACUGGUAGUAUGCGUGAGAUACUGUAUGCUAAAUAAAGACCAGAAAGUUAGAAAUAUGACAUGCUAGCGAAUAUAGAAUACCUCAAGUUAUCUUUAUUAACAUGUACAGUACAUAAUUCAAAAAUAUUUAUAACUGUUUCAACUGUUAGCACAGACAUGAUACUGUAAUUCCUUUCAAUGUGUGAAAGCUUUCAAAAAUUCAAUAUAGUUGCUUACAAAUUAUCCAUCCUUGUAUAUUGAUUAAGCCAACACUAGUAGACUGCGAAAUUAAGAGAUUAGACAAGCCUCCUGACAAUGAGCGGUAGGUCUAUGUAAACUUUCGUUUUAGCUGUUAUCUUUAUUUUACGUCGUCUGAGCAAAAUCCAUUCGAUAUCACUUAAUUAAAUCUUAUACAAGAAGUAUUUUAACAUAUGUCAACAGAAAGAAAUUGACCAGUUUGCCUUUGCCAAUCUGUUAAUUCGAACGUGAUUUUCUCAUUGAAGGUUUGUUUCGCACAUUGACCAGUCCCCAUCGAUUGUUUCCGCAAUAAUCCACAACAGUUUUCUAGUUCACAAGAUGAAAAAUUCGCCCUAACAGAUUUUGCAAUUCACUCCUAAUCGCCGCCAUCUUGAAUUUUUUCUAUGCUCAUGGGCAAGACCGCUGAACUUCAUGAUCGGCAGUUUGGCCGAUUUCGCAACAUUUU